rnacentral:rRNA from 1 species
GAUGAACGCUGGCGGCGUGCCUAAUACAUGCAAGUCGAACGAAACUUCUUUAUCACCGAGUGCUUGCACUCACCGAUAAAGAGUUGAGUGGCGAACGGGUGAGUAACACGUGGGCAACCUGCCCAAAAGAGGGGGAUAACACUUGGAAACAGGUGCUAAUACCGCAUAACCAUAGUUACCGCAUGGUAACUAUGUAAAAGGUGGCUAUACUACCGCUUUUGGAUGGGCCCGCGGCGCAUUAGCUAGUUGGUAGGGUAAAGGCUUACCAAGGCAAUGAUGCGUAGCCGAAUUGAGAGGUUGAUCGGCCACAUUGGGACUGAGACACGGCCCAAACUCCUACGGGAGGCAGCAGUAGGGAAUCUUCCACAAUGGGCGAAAGCCUGAAGGAGCAACGCCGCGUGGGUGAAGAAGGUCUUCGGAUCGUAAAACCCUGUUGUUAGAGAAGAAAGUGCGUGAGAGUAACUGUUCACGUUUCGACGGUAUCUAACCAGAAAGCCACGGCUAACUACGUG